GCCAGGCUUGACUAGCCACCUCUGGGAUCGACUGAGGGAAAGGCAGACUUGAAUUACUCAGAGAAUAAGCCAGUGGUUCUGUUUUAAUGCUCUGAGUCAGCAGCCUUUUAUAGCUCAAAUCAAGGUCAACAAGAUAUGUAGAGCACCUUCUCUGAGCACUAGCUGGAACACGGCGGCUCUUCUUUCUUCCACUCUGAGACAAGAACACAUGCGCUUUUCCUGUAAGUGUUGUCUCCCCAGUUAUUCUGGAGACCAUCCAGAAGAGAAUGAGAAUAAAGAAACCAACAGAAGAAAGAUAAAGAAGGAAGAAUAAAAGAUACCAAAAUGACAGUUAUCGCUUGCUUCGGA
rnacentral:lncRNA from 1 species